rnacentral:lncRNA from 1 species
UUUCAGCUAAAAUGUAGUACAGAUUCCUCCCCAAUACUUGUCUUAUUGAAUAUACAAGCCUUUCUAAGGCCCUUAUAAAUGAGGACAUAAAGUUCAAGAACCCUUAUUUGGGAUAAAACUUCACUACACCCCCUUCCUAUACAUUAAUUUGGAGAAAACUCAAUCUGGUAUACAGACUGUUUAUUUGGAUAAAAGAGGCCCCAAUGUUUCUCCAAUUCUAGGUUUUUGUUGUUCUCAUUGAACAUGGCGAAUAUGUAAGUUUGUAUAGGUUUUCCAGGCCUCUUGGGAGUUCCUCCCUUCACGUGUCGAAGCAAAUUUGUGAUAUAAGUCCUUGCAUUCUCAAUUGUUGUAGCCGUCCCACCAGCCGUAGGCCAACCAGUCUCAGACACAAUAAUUUCUAAAGAAGCACCACCAGCCUUCUCCAGAGCUGAGUAACCAGCAUCUAGCAUUGCAUCAAAUAUGUUUUGGUACCCAAAUUGGCCAUCUUGCUCCAUAACUCCAGGAGAUGUAAAAAGAGCAUAUUCAAGGCUGAUGUACUGGGUGUUGCCACUGUAGCUAAAAUAAGGAUACAUGUUGAACAAAAAUGGGGCUCUAGUGUCCGCUAAGAAGCUGAUGAUUGGAUUGAUAAAUGAUCCGAAAUCGGGUCUGAAAGAUCCUUUAGAUGGAGGGUAGGAUUCUCCAAGGACCAUGGCACUGAAGGGGGUUGAGACUUUGAUUUGGUUGCCAAGGCCAGCCUCUGUAAUCGCCUGGUGAAUGUUUUUCAUGGCCCCCAGGAGAUAAUUUGCUUCCCAGGCAGGAGGAUUUAUUUCAUUACCAACAGCUAUGUAUCGAAAAUUGACGUUGGCAUAGCUUCUGAUGUUGUUUUGGACCCACGAAUAUGCCUUGGCCAUGUCGGUAGCUAUGCUGUGAAGGUCUUCAUUCGCCACACCAACCAUGAGCUCAAUAUUGGAGCCUCUGAGGGCCUGGAGGACUUCUGGGGCCGGAGCGUAAAUCCUCAUUUUCUGGAUGUUGUUUCUUUUGUACAGAUCUAUAACUUCAUGGGGUGGUGGUAAGUUGUCCCCCAGUAGUCCGUAGCAAACUCCAGUGUUGGCACCUGCUUUGAAAAUUUGCAUUUGCAAUUACUGAAGUAAUUUGAGACAAUAAGACAGCAGCUAUACUCUUAAAAAAAAAACUAUUAGAGUUAGUCUGAAUAAGUCAAUUUAAUAAUAAAAGCCCAUGAAAAUCGAACAAUAGUAAAUGAAAGAAUAUGAAAGAAAUAAGGUAGAAUUCAUCACUCAAGAAGAAAAACAGUGAGAAUCGACCUGUUAUAUGGAAGGUGGCCACUAGAAGCCCAAAUAGUAGCAUUGCAGCAACCAUGGAGUCACGGGAAUACAAGGCAACAGCCAAGUAGAAAGGGGAGGAAAGAGAAUUCAGCUAAGAUGGGUUGCAGAUACUGCUAUUUUAACUCCCAUUUUAUAGACAGAGAAGGGGACAUCAACUUGUGACUUUAGCCGUUGCAUUUGCAGAUUGCUUAGCCCUCCUGUCCCACUUGUCAGGUCAAUAACUCCAUGGAAACCACACAAAAUCAAUCAUUGCAACCGCGUCCCUUGUCUUGUACUCUUGGACCUCCACCGUAAUAUCUUGGGAGAGUUCCGGAUUUUGUCAUUGCAUGUGGCUUUCAAUUUCACACCCUGAACUAAGAAACCUAUCAGAAAUUAUAUGGCAUAUGUCUUAAUGUUCACGUGACAUUCCUGAUUAGAAGUUAACUUAACGGGGAAUAUUUCAUGUAUUUUAUUUUAUUUGAUAAUUGUGAAUAUCUCCCAUCUUAUUUUCACCUCGGUUUAAAUACACAACUAAUUUCUACGAAAUGCCCUAGCCUGGUGCGUGGGGUUUAUGAACUGAACAGUUUCAAUGACAUUAACCUCAUCAUUUUUGUGAACCCAAUUGCGAAAUGCUGCCAAAAAAAGAAGAUUGAUUUUACUAGAUGGUAAUCUUUUUACUAUUGGCUCUCCAUGGGCAUGUUCUGAGGUACAGAAAAAAUUUGGUCUUCACCUUGCUGAGGGGACAACAAGUGGUCCUUUCUCUUGUUUUCACAUACUAGUUUGUUCAAUGCUUUUACUGAAGUAAUAUUAAUCUUUUUAUUUUUGCUUCAUCCUUUGGAGUAAAAGAGUUUUUGCAUCCACAUUUCUGAGGAGAUUAGGAGUAACCCUUACUUAGGAAAGAAGAACAUGGAAAAAAGAAGUGCCUUCCUUCAGAGACAGAAAUACAUGAAAAAGGUGCUCAUUCACUUGCACUUGUUUUUGCUGCUCCUUAAUUGAAAUUCAUGUAGCUUUUGGGUUGUUUACUUGGUAAAAGAAAACCCAAAAAUGAAAGUGGCUCAUUGUUUUGCAGUUUGGGAUCCAUAUGUAUGAGACGUAAAGAAGGAGAGAGACUUGUUAUCUCUAGGCUAGCCAUUAGCAGCCCAAGAGGUAGCAGAAUGUAACAAACCUUGGAGGGAUUUUACUAGUUGAAUAGAACUUAGCCAUGGAGCUAAAGAAAGGGAAGCCAGACUGAGAAGCCCAGUAUACAUCUAGCGCUAAGAUUUAGCUCUCCUUUUAUGGAGACAGACAGAGGCCUCACACUUGGAAUUUUAAGUGUUUAGAGUCCCCACACUUAGACUUGCAGGGAAAUCAGUGCCCCAUGGAAAUUGAGUUAGAAGAAACAAAUUCACCACCAUACCAGCUUCAGCUUUCAUCAUUUAACAACUCUGUCUCACUUGAGGGUGAAUUCUUCACAGUUUGUAAUGGCUAGCCUUCUCUAAAAAAAUUGACUCAGAUUUUGUAUAUAUUUUCAAAUAACUUACUUUUCUUAAUUCAAAUCCUACUCUUAACAGCUAUAUGAAUUCAUGGAAGGUAUGCAUGUUGCUUGCCUGAAGCAUGGGAUUUUUCCCAGGUAACUAGAAUAUGCCAAGAUGUUUGAAUGGUGUUGAUCAUUAUCUUUGAUAAAAGGAUACUAAACAACUGUUUUGUUUUGUUAGACAUUGAGUAAUUUCCUAAAUUUUGUAAAUAAAAUUAUAUUACAUAUUCUUGUAUGCUCUAAAGAAGCAAACUGAUGAAACAUUUUAAAGAGCCAAAUAUUUUUUAUUGACAACGAAAAAUUGAACUUUAGUUAAGCUGGAAGCACCAUAAAUUAUAAAUCUUCUCUUUCAGGUCUAACUUUUCUCAAAUGGCUAGGCUGGGGAGAAGCACAAAAGCUCAAAAGUCUUAGGAUAACACAUAAAAAUGAAUUCAUACACAUAGGCUAGAAACUAAGACUCAUGAAGGAAUGUCUUAGAUGUCUUCACAUAAAUGGUAAUAGCAAUUAAUGAGGCAAUUGGCACAAAGGCUAAAAAAAGAAUACUAUUUCAUUAGACUUACUAGCCUUUCUUGUGGUCUUUUAAGCUCUCAGUUACAUAAAAAGUCUUGCAUUCUCUAGUUUAGAAUAAAACUUUGACAGGUGGGUGCCUAAGAAGUGAGUUCCAGAGAAGGGCAUUAUGCAACUCAUUAUAAUUAUUUUAUUUAAUGUGAAUUUUUGUUCUAUAUGCUGUGACUGAUCAUGGUCUUGAUUGAUACUUGAAUGAGUUUGGUUAAAUUAUAUAUAUAUUGUGCACCAGUUCCAAUCAAAUACACCUUUACCAAGCAAGACCUGUAUCAUCGAAUACUACAGCCGACUUAGAAAAUGAAAGAUUUCAAAUUCAAAUUAGACCAAAGAGUAUAAAUGUGAUGCCAGAUGAAGCUAAGCUACACAAUUGAAUAGACAAUUUGAGUGGCACUGGGGAUCCUACAAAGUAAAGGGUACUUAGACUGCUUGUUUGGGAGAAAUAGCCCCCAAUGUCUCUCCAAUUCUGGGGUUUUUCUGUUCUCAUCAAACAUGGCAAACACAUAAGUUUCUAUGGCCUUUCCAGGCCUCUUGGGAGUCCCUCCCUUCACAUGCUGAAUCAAGUUGGUAUUGUAAAUCCUUGCAUUAUCCAGAGUCGCUCCUGUGCCACCAGCUGAAGGCCAGCCACUUUCCGAUAUAACAAUUUCCAGCGAACUCCCACCAGCCUCCUCAAGCGCUGAGUAACAUGCAUCCACCAUGGAAUCAAAGAGAUUUCGGUACCCAAGCUGCCCAUCUUGCACCGUAACCUCAUUAGGCGCCGUAAAAAGAGCAUAGUCUAGGCUGACGUCUUGGGUGUUAGCACUGUAACUGAGGUAAGGGUAGAGGUUAACUAGUAGUGGGGCACGGUUUUCCACUAAGAGACUGAUGAUGGGAUCAAGAAAUGUACGGGCUUGAGUCUGGAAGGAGCCUUGUGAUGGAGGGUAGGAAUUCCCUAAAACUCCAAGCUGAGUGGCAGUGGAAACCUUGAUUUGAUUGUCUAGGCCAGCUGCGGAGAUUGCAUUGGUGAUAGAUUUCAUCGCAGGGAGAAGAAACUGGGCAACGUAGUCUGAAAGACUCACUUCAUUGCCAACUGCAAUGUAUCGAAAUUUGACCUUAGUAUAGUUCGUCACAUAUUUUUCGACCCAUGAAUUUGCAUUGCCUUGGUCGGCAAUAUCAGAAAGGGCAUUGUUUGGGACGCCCAGCAUGAGCUCAAUGUUGGAGCCUUCAAGGGCCUGCAGAGCAGCUAUGUUUGGUUCGUAAAGUCUCAUUCUUUGGAAGUUGUUCUGGGUGUAGAGCUCUACAACCUCUUCCGGUGGUGGCAGGUUGUCGCCAAGCGUUCCAUAACACACUCCUAUUUGGGCUUCUGCUGAGAUUGAACAAAAACCAUGGAAUUAAAAACCAACCAAUCUUGUAGGGAAAAGGGCAAAUAAUUAGUGAACCACUCGUGUAUGGGCCGGGAUUAAAUAUAAAAAAGUAAGCUAGUAGUAAGUUGAUAAGGGACGACCCUAAUUAAUCAAGGCCAGUACAGAGCAUAUAUAGAAUCUCACAUGGGAGAAAACAGAUUUCUCAAAAGUAAUGAGAUACCAAUCUUUAUUAGACCAAGGCAUAUUGGAUUGAAGUCUUAAAACCCCACUGGCAAGAUGCAAGGGAAGAGAGACAAACCUGUUAGGUGUAGGUUGGUCAUCAGCAGCCCAAGGAGUAGCAGAACUAUGGUCGUUCUUGGAGAGGUUUUAACAUAGGAAUUGACAGCCAUGGAAAAGAAAGGGAAGAAUAAAAGGGUAAGUUAUAUAUGUCUCUAGCACUAAAAUUUAGUUCCCUUUUAUAGAGUGGAUCAAGUCUUGCAGCUGGAAUUUAAGUAAUGAUAGAUCCAUUCCCACAACCGGCUUGAGCCCUCAUCAUUGAAUGCGAUUCUGUCUGUUGCUUGAGAUUAAUUUCUCCCCCUUUUGAGAAGUCUUGGAUCUUUCUACACCUCUUUUGGAGGCAAAUUUCUGAAACAAUCACUGUUAUUGUAGUUGCCUCUCUCAGCUGGUAGUGUCUGAACUUAGUUCAAAACACUCCCAUGAAAUUCAAAACAUCAAAACACUGGCAUAUAAAAAAAGAUAAAGAAAAAAAUAUAGAGAGAAAAGAAAACAGAGAUUUUGCACUUGAAGAACAUCCAUAGAUGUGCGGAAAACUUAAAAAAGAGGGCAGGCGACGAACUUGACCCAAAGUGCCAAACAUAGGUCAUGGAAUAUCUUUGUGGAAAUUACUAUAUGUUCUCCAACAUCCCAUGUGAAUUCAGGGAUGCAUUUUGCUUAUCCUUCACGGAUCUCUCUUCCUGGACGCCGGAUCGUGGCCCAUUAUCAAUGGUACGGGGAAGAUCGUUGAAUUUUGAAGUCGGUGGUAUCAUAGAUGACAAACAUCUCCUGACUCUUUUAGUCAAGUCUUCCAGUAACUGAUCUUAUCCUGUUAGGCUCCGGUAAGCUCCCGUUAGACCCUCAUGACUUUGACUAGGCAACAACCCCAAUUCACGGAACGACAAGCACAAUUCCUCAAAGGAAAAAUAAAAAAGAAAAAAACCACCCAAAUUGGUGACUAUUUAUUUGUUUUAAGUUUGUUUUUCUUCUCUUAUUAGUCCAUUUUUCUCUAGAUUGAGCUGGACCAAACCAACCCCCAAGUUGGACCAUCUCAGCUGGCCAGCAUAGCUAUUGAUUCAUCCCCCAACUUGGUUCGAUGCCAAGGCCCAAAAUUUGACCCAAGCAAUGGCCUAGCUGGUGGGCCUCCACUUUCCAUCAUGGGCCAUAGGUGUACUUUCUUAUCAUAAUCUUGUCUGAUGGGUAAGCGACAACUUGAAAUCUAUAGACUUUUCAACAUUAGCGCCAUAGGCCCAUAGCCCAGAUGCAAAUGAGACAAUUCAAGGAUUAACAUAGGUUAUGGAAUAUCUUUGGGGGUUGUUCCGGGACUUUUCUCAAUAGUACAGUAAUUUAAAAAAGUUAUGCUUAAAUUAUUGUAAUAGAAGAAGUUAUUACAAAUAUAUGGUAGUUUUUGUCACAUAGGAGAGAGGAGAGAGGAGAGAGGGUGAGAGAGAGGAGAUAGGAGAGAGGAGAGAGGGUGAACGGAUAAAUUUUUUUAAAAAAAGGAACUCGUCUCUUCUCUAAGAGACGAGUUCCAUGAAAAAAGACAAGGGAAAGACGAGUUCCCAAGGAAAAAAAAUAUAUUUUUUUUAAAUAUAUUUUUUAUUUAAAAAAAAUCCUAAAUUAAAUUAAAAAAAAAAUUCCUAAAGGGAACUCAUCUCUUUGGGAAUUUUUUUUUUUAAAUAUAUUUUUUAUUUUAAAAAAAAUCCCAAAUAAAAAAAAAACUCCUAAAGGGAACUCGUCUCUUCAAGAGACGAGUUCCCAUGUAAAAAAAAAUAUUUUUUUUUAAAAAUAUAUAUAUUUAAAAAAAAAAAUUUCCUAAAGGGAAUUCGUCUCUUGAAGAGACGAGUUCCAUGGAAAAAAAAAUAUUUUUUUUUAAAAUAUAUUUUUUGUUUAAAAAAAAAUCCAAAAAAAAAAAAUUUCCUAAAGGGAACUCGUCUCUUGAAGAGACGAGUUCCCAUAGGAAAUUUUUUUUUUUUAAAUAUAUUUUUUAUUUAAAAAAAAUCCUAAAUUAAAUUAAAAAAAAAAAAUUCCUAAAGGGAACUCAUCUCUUUGGGAAUUUUUUUUUUUAAAAUAUAUUUUGAAGAGACGAGUUCCCAUGUAAAAAAAAAUAUUUUUUUUUUAAAAAUAUAUAUAUUUAAAAAAAAAAAUUCCAAAGGGAACUCGUCUCUUGAAGAGACGAGUUCCAUGGAAAAAAAAUAUUUUUUUUUUAAAAUAUAUUUUUUGUUUAAAAAAAAAAUCCAAAAAAAAAAAAAAAAAUCGAAGAGACAAGUUCCUAUGGGAAAAAAAAUAUAUUUUUUUAAAAUAUAUUUUUUAUUUAAAAAAAUCCCAAAUUAAAAUUAAAAAUAUAUAUAUAUAUAUAUAUAUAUUUUUUAAUAUAUAUAUAUAUAUAUAUUUUUUAAUAUAUAUAUAUUUUUUUUAAUAUAUAUUUUUUUUUAUAAAAAAUAUAUUUUUUUCAUGGGAACUCGUCUCUUCAAGAGACGAGUUCCCUUUGGAAUUUUUUUAAAUAAAAAAUAUAUUUAAAAAAAAUAUAUAUUUUUUCCCAAGGGAACUCAUCUCUUCAAGAGACGAGUUCCCUUUAAGAAUUUUGAGGAAUUGUUUUUUUUUUUAAUAUAUAUAUUUAAUAUAUAUAUAUAUAUAUAUUUUUUUUACAUGGGAACUCGUCUCUUCCGUCUCUUGAAGAGACGAGUUCCCUUUGGAAUUGUUUUUUUUUUUUUUUUUUUUAAUUUGGGAUUUUUUUAAAAUAAAAAAUAUAUUUAAAAAAAAAUAUUUUUUUUCCCAUGGGAACUCGUCUCUUAAGUUCCCUUUAGUAUAUGAGAACUCGUAUUUUCAAGAGACGAGUUCCCUUUAGGAAUUUUGAGGAAUUGUUUUUUUUUUUUUUUUUAAUAUAUAUAUUUAAAACAAAAAAACAAAAUUUUACAUGGGAACUCGUCUCUUCAAGAGACGAGUUCCCUUUGGAAUUGUCUUUUUUUUUUUUUAAUUAAUUCGGGAUUUUUUUUAAAUAAAAAAAUAUAUUUAAAAAAAAAAAAAUUUCCCAUGGGAACUCGUCUCUUGAGUUCCCUUUAGGAAUUUUUUAUUUAUUUUAAAUAUAUAUAUUUUAAAAAAAAAAAAUUUUUACAUGGGAACUCGUCUCUUCAAGAGACGAGUUCCCUUUGGAAUUGUUUUUUUUUUAUUUUUUUUUAUUUGGGAAUUUUUUAAAAAAAAAUAUAAUUUUUUUUCCCAUGGAAACUCGUCUCUUAAGUUCCCUUUAGGAAUUUUUUUACAUGGGAACUCGUCUCUUCAAGAGACGAGUUCCCUUUGGAAUUGUUUUUUAUUUUUUAUUUUAUUUUUUUAAUUUUGGAUUUUUUUUAAAUAAAAAAUAUAUUUUAAAUUUUUUUUUUUUCCCAUGGGAACUCAUCUCUUGAAGAGACGAGUUUCCUUGAAGAAUUGUCUUUUUUUUUUUUUAAUUUGAUAAUUUUUUAAAAAAUAUAUAUAUAUUUUUUUUCAUGGAACUCGUUUCUUCAAGAGACGAGUUCCCUUUUUUAAAAAAAUUUAUCCAUUCACCCUCUCUCCUCUCUCCUCUCUCUUAUCUCCUCUCUCCUCUCUCUCACCCUCUCUCCUCUCUCCUCUCUCCUAUGUGGCAAAAACUACCAUAUAUUUGUAAUAUCUUCUUCUACUACAAUAAUUUAAGCAUAACUUUUUUAAAUUACUGUACUAUUGAGAAAAGUCCGGUUGUUCUAUGUGUUGUGUGUUUGCCCAAGUUCUGCAAUUUUCUAUCAUGUCUCAGGAGUUGUUGAGCUUCAGUUUUUUACUUUGUUAGUGGAGGUACCAAGCAUAGAAGACGGCCAACCCAUGGGUCUACCUACUUGCUCGAGUCGGAUAGCGGAUUUCACUACAAAAGCUACCUCCCGGAGGGUGCCGAUUUUUUCCGAGAAGGGGUACCCGGAUGUUGUAUCGACUGAAUUUUGUCUCCUGGUUGAGAAGUCCUCCCAGCUCCAUUUAAACCUACAAUGAUUCGAGAACCCACCCGACCAAUCCUAGAAGAACUAAAAAAUUGAUCAUCGGGAAGAAGCUGUCAUACCGCUAACACAGAUCACGUGGCAUGGAUAUCGAGGGCAACGACAAGGCAUGUAUGAGGAACAAAUCUCAAAGGAAAAUAUUAUCUUCACAUUAGCAGGAAAUGUCAAGGUUGAUUGGCCAUGGGCCACCUGACACAGAUCUGCCAAGCCAACCGUGCACGCCACACAACCUUCAAUCUAACUCAAGCCUAUAAAAGAGGAAGAAGAAUAGGAGAAAAGGGGGAUCCUUCUCCUAGAGAGUCGAGAUACCCACCAACAGAGUAAGUGACACUGGAAAAUUGGCUACAGCCUUGAUAGUCGUUGGAUCAUCAUAUCUAUAAAGGUUAUACACCAACAGUUAGGUUAUGUAAAUCCAUAAACCAACAGUCAUUGUAGAGAAAAGAACCACCACCGCUGAGAACUCCAAAGAUUUGCAAUGAUACCAUUUUGUAGAUAGAGUGACAGAGGUAUAAAAAGAAAUUGAUUCAUUAUCUGUGGCAUCUACCCAUACUGUGAUUCCGAAUCAACAUACCUAAUUUCCGAGAUAUGGCAACUCUUGAGUAAACUAAUAAUAAAAUAAGAACUGUGCCAUGUAACUUCAUUCACAAAUGAAACUUUCUUUGCGUCACUAUGAAACAAAAUUAGAAAAUCAUUUCUAUUUUGAUUAUUUCUUUUUUAAUUGUAUCCCAAAAAGACAUUUUUUAUACAUGACACAAUACAUAAAUAACUUUGAUUUUGUCUAAAAAAAAAUUGUUGAAUUUCUUACCUAUCAACGAAACAUUGAUUAAGAAAAAAAAUAUAUAUAUCAUAAGUUUCAAUACUGGUAGACUAAGAAGACCGCUGAAAGUCCAUGCCCCCGACCAACCAACUUAAGUACCACUGAAAUUGGGUGAAGUCAAGUGACGGUCCCUAAAUACAUUAAGAUUUUAAUCCUAAAAUAUAAGGUGCUUUUAAAUCUAGUACAGAUUCCUCACCACGACUUAUCUUAUUAAACAUAUAAGGCGCUCUUAAAUGAGUGCAUGAAGUUCUACAUGACACUUUUUCUCAGGGCUCAAGACCCCUUAUUUGGGAUAAGACAUCACUAUACCCUUCCUACAUUAAUUUGGAGAAAACUCAAUCUGGUAUACAGACUGUCUAUUUGGAUAAAAGAUGCCCCAAUGUUUCUCCAAUUCUGGGUUUUUGUUGUUCUCAUUGAACAUGGCGAAUAUGUAAGUUUGUAUAGGUUUUCCAGGCCUCUUGGGAGUUCCUCCCUUCACAUGUCGAAGCAAAUUUGUGUUAUAAGUCCUAGCAUUCUCAAUUGUUGUAGCCGUCCCACCAGCCGUAGGCCAACCAGUCUCAGUCACAA